rnacentral:rRNA from 1 species
CUCCUACGGGAGGCAGCAGUCGGGAAUUUUGGGCAAUGGGCGAAAGCCUGACCCAGCAACGCCGCGUGAAGGAUGAAGUAUUUCGGUAUGUAAACUUCGAAAGAAUGGGAAGAAUAAAUGACGGUACCAUUUAUAAGGUCCGGCUAACUACGUGCCAGCAGCCGCGGUAAUACGUAGGGACCAAGCGUUGUUCGGAUUUACUGGGCGUAAAGGGCGCGUAGGCGGCUUGACAAGUCACUUGUGAAAUCUCCGGGCUUAACUCGGAACGGCCAAGUGAAACUGUCAUGCUAGAGUGCAGAAGGGGCAAUCGGAAUUCUUGGUGUAGCGGUGAAAUGCGUAGAUAUCAAGAGGAACACCUGAGGUGAAGACGGGUUGCUGGGCUGACACUGACGCUGAGGCGCGAAAGCCAGGGGAGCAAACGGGAUUAGAUACCCCGGUAGUCCUGGCCCUAAACGAUGAGUACUUGGUGUCUGGAGUUAUUAGUGCUCCGGGUGCCGUCGCUAACGUUUUUAGUAUUCCGCCUGGGGAGUACGCUCGCAAGAGUGAAACCCAAAGGAAUUGACGGGGACCCGCACAAGCGGUGGAGCAUGUGGUUUAAUUCGACGCAACGCGAAGAACCUUACCUGGACUAGAAUGUGAGGGAAGUCUGCGUAACAGCAGGCGUCUGGGAAACCAGACCCAAAACAAGGUGCUGCAUGGCUGUCGUCAGCUCGUGUCGUGAGAUGUUGGGUUAAGUCCCGCAACGAGCGCAACCC